CAAAAAGUAGCUUACAUAAAGCAUUCGACCUACACUCGAACGACAUUCACACCAAUCUUUUUGA
rnacentral:tRNA from 1 species